GAGGGUAUAGCUCUAGUGGUAGGGCACGUGAUUAGCAUGCACAAGUCCUGGGUUCAAUUCCCAGUACCACCU
rnacentral:tRNA from 1 species